AUAUUAUUAACACACCCUAAAUCAGGCUACAACAUCGAACAAUGAAGUAAGCUAAAAUUCAGUUACCACCACCAGCUUUUACAACAAAAAGAUAGGUGUUUCAGAUUGAUACUCACCUUUGUUCUUUAUUAAGAUCCUGUGCAAAGAGCACCUGCUGAUUUCUGAUCUGUAUGAUGGUGUCUAUCACAGCAUGAGUCUACUACAGCAACAAAAUAUGUAAAAAUUCAAAAAACCUGACCACAAAUUGAAUAUAGAAUAUACAGGGAAUUUUAAAAACCAUAAUCAUUUUUAAAUGAAUUUGUAUUGAAAAUAUUUACCCUGGUCAGUUACUGAGUUUAUUGUUAAUUGGGAGUUAAAGACAGGGCCCUAUUUUGUCAUGUUAAUGCUCAUGAAGAUCUAUUUCCUCCUUCCCAUACAGUUGAUGGGAAGUGGUGGUGGUGGUGACGCAGGGUUCAGCUGCAUCUGCAGCAAGAUCUUCCCUUUCACAAGAUUGUCAGAGGAUCCUCCAUGGAUUCAAGAACCCACGUGUGAGGAAUGAGGUGAAAUGGAGGAACAGAGGAAGAAGAGGCCUGCGCAUGAACUCAUCCCAUCAGUUUGGAUUCUGUGGUGAAGGGAAUAAAAAUUCUUGACAAGGAGAAACUGGGGCAAAGAUUCCUAAACAUAAGCAAGAGAUCCCCAUGUUGUGUAUCCUAAAGGAUAUACAAAGCUGCUUAUUACAGAUGAUUAUAUUACCUUUUUAAAUCUAAAUCUACAUUUGUAUGUAUAUGUUUCCUGUUUUAACCUUGCAAAAAACUCUCAUUUCUUUUUCCUAGUUAAUCAGUCUUUAGUUAGUUUAUUACAGGACUGGCUACAGACAUUGUAGGGGGGAGGGAUAGCUCAGUGGUUUGAGCAUUGGCCUGCUAAACCCAGGGUUGUGAGUUCAAUCCUUGAGGGGGCCACUUGGGAAUCUGGGGCAAAAUCAGUACUUGGUCCUGCUAGUGAAGGCAGGGGGCUGGACUUGAUGACCUUUCAAGGUCCCUUCCAGUUCUAGGAGAUGGGAUAUCUCCAUUGUCUUUGGUUUGAAAUCUGAGUACAAAUGGCCUCAGGUAAGUGACCCGUCCUUUGGGACUGGAAGUAACCUGAAUAUUGUUGUGAUUUUUGGUGUAAAGUGACCAUCUAUCACAUAGUCUAUCUUGCCUGGGUAGCAAGAUAGACAGGAAUACCCAAGGGGACUAUCUGUGACUCCAUACUGUUAUAGUGGGGUUUAAGAGUUCACAUUUGUUACUGGGUUGGUGAUAUCUAAUUACAGAACAUCCAACCAAUUUGUGAGCCACUUCAGACAGCAUGAGAGAAGGUUACACAUUUAUAAUGCGUAAAUGGCCAAAGCUCAUUUAUGGAAAUAAGAUUAAGCUUCAUUUUGAUAUUGGUUUGGGUAGCAAAGUGAAAAACAAAACAACAAACCAUGGUGUUUUCCACUGAGCAAAGCAUUUCAAUGUGUUAGUGCUAGCAAUCUGUAAGAUGUUGGCUGGGUCAGUCAAAACCUUCAAAGACAUCUUUUUGCAACGUAUAGCGUGUAAGAGUAUGUGACACAUCAUUUAAUGAAGAACUAUACAAAACCUACUGGGAUUAUUUACUGCCAUUACAGCAGUAAUAUAGCAAAGUUUAACAGCAUAAAGAUGAUAUAAAAAUUGCUCUUCCCAUCUAACACAAUUUAGUGACACUUUACAUCCAGGGAAGGCAGCACUUUACGAAGGAGGAAGGAGAUUCUUGCUCUAAAACGAGGGAGCUUUUAGAUAGGAAAAAAAUGAAAAGAUAUGGCACAGUAGAUUUUUAUUUUGGGUCACCAAAAAAGCAAGUUAAAGUGAGAACUGUCCUGGAAGUUACAGUCCAGCUUCUUUCAGCUCCAGCAUUUCAAGAUGAGACUGUCCACAUCCUGAGAAAUCUGACUUCAAGCUUGGUAUCUUUUUGCAAGUUAAGGAGAAAGACAAUGAGGGCUGCCUUUCAAGGAAACACCAUUAGUGUUUAUUUUAAUGAGAAGAGUCCUGUUAUUAGCUGGAAAGAGUGGUGCUUAUGGAUUUCACACCAGCUAAAACUUUCUGUAAGUGCUCUUCAGUCUCCUUUCAUGUACAUUUCAUUCAAGGACAUACCUUCCUGCAUGCACACACCUCUUGAAUGGAGACUUGACAACAGAAGAACAGAGCUAUAAAUGUGAGGGUGCAGUAUAUCAUGAGAUAAAGUGUGAAGAACAUGUCCUCUACCAAAAUGCCCCUUGGUGUAAGAAAAAAGCCAAAAUGCCUAAAAGAGAACUCCCUCCGAUUGUUAAUUCUACAAAGGAGUCAAAAAACCAUGAGCUGUGCACGUUCCUAAGGCAUCAGAUCUGGCAGAAAGUUGAAAGGUUAUGUUUGUGAAAUAGCAGCUGCUUUCCUGCCAUUUGAUUCAGGUUUCUGCAUUGCAAAGUCUCCAAACCGAAAGACAAAUCUGACAAUAUGCUAAUCUUCCAAUAAAAAAAAUGUGACUUCUG